ensembl:lncRNA CDC20-DT CDC20 divergent transcript
GCCCUUUUGCGUGCCUUCCACCGCCGCGAGCUCGGAAUGUCUGGCCCCGGGUGCUUCAGGGUCCGAGAACCUGCAGAAGUUCACACUUAAAUCCUACACGAGAGUCGUAUUUAUGAUGCAGAACUCGGUGCAGAACCCGAUGGAGUGCCCAAGGCGCUUGAGCCGUUCCUAGAAGGGGAAGGAGAGCCGCGGGCGGCAGCGGGGCAGGGGACGGAAUUGGGAAGCUUGGGAGCAGGAAGAAGGCCAGAGCUACUUAGGGCCAUGCGCGGUGGCUCACGCUUGUAAUCCCAGCACUUUGGGAGGCCGAGGCGGGCAGAUCACGAAGUCAGAAGAUCGAGACCAUCCUGGCUAACACGGGACUCAAGACUGGAAUGGGAAGAGCAUGAAAUUGAGCUGUCUAUCCCCCUGGAUCUCUCAUUGCCACCUGCCCAUAGGUUGGCUGCACCCCUCCACCAAAGAAAGGCCAUGACUCCUUCCUGGCAGCCCUGUCUUACAGCUACUCUCUGGUGAUCUGGGAACCACUCCCUCCCUUACCCCUUGAUGCCUAGGGCUAGUGCCAGCACCUUGUUGUUGUUAGCCUCAGAGGCACUUGCACUGUUCCUUGAUGGUUUUCCCAAAUCUUGCCCUCAUCUUUGUAAAUACUGUUUGCCGUUUAUUACACUGUCAUCAUAUUACCCAA